rnacentral:rRNA from 1 species
AUUGAACGCUGGCGGCAUGCCUUACACAUGCAAGUCGAACGGUAACAGGUCUUCGGACGCUGACGAGUGGCGAACGGAUGAGUAAUACAUCGGAACGUGCCCAGUCGUGGGGGAUAACUACUCGAAAGAGUAGCUAAUACCGCAUACGAUCUGAGGAUGAAAGCGGGGGACCUUCGGGCCUCGCGCGAUUGGAGCGGCCGAUGGCAGAUUAGGUAGUUGGUGGGAUAAAAGCUUACCAAGCCGACGAUCUGUAGCUGGUCUGAGAGGACGACCAGCCACACUGGGACUGAGACACGGCCCAGACUCCUACGGGAGGCAGCAGUGGGGGAUUUUGGACAAUGGGCGAAAGCCUGAUCCAGCAAUGCCGCGUGCAGGAUGAAGGCCUUCGGGUUGUAAACUGCUUUUGUACGGAACGAAAAAGCUCCUUCUAAUACAGGGGGCCCAUGACGGUACCGUAAGAAUAAGCACCGGCUAACUACGUGCCAGCCGCCGCGGUAA